rnacentral:rRNA from 1 species
CGAGGAACAGAUGCUAAUACCGGAUAANAACAGAUGAUGCCUAUCAACUGUUUAAAAGAUGGUUCUGCUAUCACUCUUGGAUGGACCUGCGGUGCAUUAGCUAGUUGGUAGGGUAACGGCCUACCAAGGCGAUGAUGCAUAGCCGAGUUGAGAGACUGAUCGGCCACAUUGGGACUGAGACACGGCCCAAACUCCUACGGGAGGCAGCAGUC